CCCUUAGAUGUUCUGGGCCGCACGCGUGCUACACUGAGUGGAUCAGCGGGUCAGGUUGCGCGAAAGCGUUUCCUAAUCUUUAAAUCCGCUCGUGAUGGGGAUUGACGGUUGCAAUUUUCUGUCAUGAACGAGGAAUACCUCGUAAGCGCGGGUCAUCAUCCCGCGCUGAAUACGUCCCUGCCCUUUGUACACACCGCCCGUCGCUCCUACCGAUUGAGUGGUCCGGUGAGGCUUUGGGAUCUGAGCGGAAAGAGCGUUUCGCUGUUUCUGCUCGGAAAACUCAGUCGAACCUUAUCAUUUAGAGGAAGGAGAAGUCGUAACA
rnacentral:rRNA from 1 species